rnacentral:lncRNA from 1 species
CCCGCCCGAGUGGGGAAACCAGGCGACCCCACAAGCCAGUGAAACCCAGCACCCCUUACGCCCCCACUCAUCCCCUCAGCCCCGUGGUCACAGACAGGUGGGCCAGCCGUUCCCGCCCCUCCGGCCGCCUUCCCACCCGUAGGGCACGGCCCGCAUUGAAACGGGGCAGCGCCGAGCCCGUGGGACGGGCCCACGUGAAAGCAAUCCGGGACGGCUGGAAGUGGGCCCCACAGAACCUCCGCUGUUUAGUUUACUCGGCCGCACACAUGCCGGUUUCCGUUUCUUGCUUGUCUCGCCUCGCCGCCUCGCUGCCGCGGUCAACUCCUCUCCUCCUUGCCUGCCUCCACCACGUCUCCGUGCCGCCCAGAACCAGAAGCAUUCCCUCAAACACCUCGCGGGCGCCUCUGACCCCGCCUCCCUCCAUGGCCGCGCCCUAGAGACUACACUGUCGCAGCCGCUUCGGUGCUCCGGCUCCACCCAUGCCGCACUGCCGCCUCCUCCUGGCCGCCGUGGCCCUUCUGGGGGCAGUGGNNNNN